UACGAAGGGGGCUAGCGUUGUUCGGAGUUACUGGGCGUAAAGGGCGCGCAGGCGGCUGCUCAAGUCAGGCGUGAAAGGCCUGGGCUCAACCCGGGAAUUGCGCUUGAGACUGGGCUGGCUUGAGUGCGGGAGAGGAUGGUGGAAUUCCCAGUGUAGAGGUGAAAUUCGUAGAUAUUGGGAAGAACACCGGUGGCGAAGGCGGCCAUCUGGACCGCAACUGACGCUGAGGCGCGAAAGCGUGGGGAGCGAACAGG
rnacentral:rRNA from 1 species